rnacentral:lncRNA from 1 species
UGGUCUGCAUCACAGCACCAGAGAAGCAAAUAUCCUUGCCUUUGACAGUCGCCGGAGCAGUUCUGAUGGCUGUGCUAUAAAGCUAUGUCCUUGGUUUAAACACAUCAGGAAUAAUUGGAUGCAGUCUUCACAGAAUAAAUCAAGGUAAAUUUGGACACUCAUAUCAAAGUAGAGAUAAAUACAUUAGGUUCAAUUCUACUUAAAGAAGUCGAUGAUUGGACUAUAUUCAUCUUUCUCAAUUAUUACUGCAUAUUUAAAACCAAGGGAUUUUUAAAAUACAAUAUUAGAUGUCCUCCGCAUAUCACUUCAAAAUCUUGGGAUCUGAAGUCAGAUACCGGCAUUUCUUAAAAGCUUAUCACACUGGGGAUCCUCUUCAAAUGCAGAUUCUGAUUUGGUAAGUUUGAUACAUAGCUUCAGAUUUGCACUUUUAAGCAUCUGUCAAGUUUUGCCAAUGCUGCUGGUGUAUGGACCACUCUGUGAAUUGAGGUGUUCCAUGAUAUCUCAUAUUAAAUCCUUCCCACAAAAAUUUUUUCAGAGUGCAGCAAGUUCUUUCAUAUCAUGUAUCAGAGAGCUUCUAUUUAGCUUUAGAAUUACAAUGCCUGCAGGAUUCUGAGAUGUCUAUAACAAAUUAUGAUGUAUUUGGAUCACCACUUCACAGGAGAGCAGACUAUGACUAACUAUUACAUCAACAUGAUAAAUAAUAGGAGUGAGAAAUAGUUGAAGCUUGGUUGAGAUGAUAAAUGGGAAUGCUAUCAAUAGGCCUUUUCAUAAGUAAUUAUACAAUAAUGAGAAUCACUGAGAGACUGAUUUAAACAUGGUAUUGGAAUAAAACAUUCAGAUAGACCUGAAAUAAAUUUGUACAUCUGUAGUGAACUCAUUUUCUACAAAGGUGACAAGAAGAUACAUUGGAACUAAAGGACAUUCUUUUCAGGAAAUGGUGCUGGGAAAACUAAAUAUCAACAUGCAGAAGAAUGAAACUUGACCCCUAUGUUUUACCAUAUGCAAAAAUCAAAUUAAAAUGGAUUAAAUGCUUAAAUCUAAGACCUCAAACUAGGAAGCUACUACAAGAAUACAUUGGAGAAACUUUCCAGGACAUUGAAGUGGGAAAAGAUUUCUUGAGUAAUACUCACAAGCACAGGCCAAAGCAAAAAUGGACAAAUGGAAUCACAUCAAGUUAAAAAGCUUCUUCACAGCAGAAGACAAUCAACAAAGUGAAGAGAAAAUCCAUAGAAUGGGAGAAAAUAUUUGCGAACUACUCAUCUGAUAGUGGAUUAAUAACUAGAGUGUAUAAGGAGCUCAAACAACUCUAUAGGAAAAAAAACUCAUAAUCCAACUAAAAAUGGGCAAAAGAUUUGAAUAGACAUUUCUCACAAGAAGAUAUACAAAUGGCAAACAGGCAUAUGAAAAGAUGCUCAACAUCACUGAUCAUCAGAGAAACACCAAUCAAAACUAUAAUGAGAUAUCAUCUCACCCCAGUUAAAAUGGCUUUUAUCCAAAAGACAGGCUUAACAAAUGCUGAUGAAGAUGUAGAGAAAAGGAUACCCUUGUACACUCUUGGUGGGAAUGUAAAUUAGCACAAUCUUUAGGCAGAAUAGUUUGGAGGUUCCUCAAAACACUGAAAGUAGAGCUACCUUACAAUCCAGCAAUCCCACUCGUAGUAUACACCCCAAAGAAAGGAAAUCAGUAUGUUGAAGAGACAUCUGCACUUCUAUGUUUACUGCAGCACGAUUCACAAUAGCCAAGAUUUGGAAGCAACCUACGUGUCCAUUAGCAGACAAAUGGAUAAAGAAAAUGUGGUACAUAUACACAACGAAGUACUAUUCAACCAUAAAAAAGAAUAAGAUUUUGUCAUUUGC